rnacentral:rRNA from 1 species
UGACAUGAUGAAUCCGAGAGAUCUGGAGUGCCCGAAAGGGAACCAUUACACAGGUGCUGCAUGGCUGUCGUCAGCUCGUGUCGUGAGAUGUUGGGUUAAGUCCCGCAACGAGCGCAACCCUUGUCAUUAGUUGCUACGAAAGAGCACUCUAAUGAGACUGCCGGUGACAAACCGGAGGAAGGUGGGGAUGACGUCAAGUCCUCAUGGCCCUUAUGGGUAGGGCUUCACACGUCAUACAAUGGUACAUACAGAGGGCCGCCAACCCGCGAGGGGGAGCUAAUCCCAGAAAGUGUAUCGUAGUCCGGAUUGUAGUCUGCAACUCGACUACAUGAAGUUGGAAUCGCUAGUAAUCGCGGAUCAGCAUGUCGCGGUGAAUACGUUCCCGGG